ACCAAUUCCGCGUUAGGGAUAGGAGCAUUGUUUGAGCUCUUACUUAAAAUUCCUCAGGAUUUUAAGUAAAGCGAGUGCGGAUAGCCCGACCUUUA
rnacentral:sRNA from 1 species